CAAUCCUGUAAAGGAACCAGAAGAAAAGGAGACGCUACAAACAGAUCCCAAGGCCUAAGAGGACCAAUUUGAAGAAAUUAAAGACACCAUGCCACAACUGGGUAGAGAAUGGCACACAACAUCAGAUACUCUGGCCAAACAGAGCCUACCCAUAAUGCCACCGGCACCUCAACUCGACUACACUCAGCUCAGGAACUAACAGUGAUGAAACGAGACAUUACCUAAGCUGUUUCCACGACUGAAGGAACAGACUACGCAGAUGAUCCGCUAACUGGUUUUCCUACCUCACAAUUGUAUCACUGCUCACAAAGCCCACGCAGACUAGGGGGCACCAACAUACCCUAGAGACCCAUUGAAGCCAAGAUGUUGGCUAUUAGCACCCAUUAACAGAUUAGCUAAACCUCCUGUUAGAAUUGUCAACUGAUGGAUACUGCUGGACAAGCAGCUGUUUUCUAUUAACUGUAUUCGAAAUGGCAUUGUCUUGUAAUUAACUGCUACAACCCUAUAAGAACUGUCUGUAUCUGAAGCUCAGGGAAGAGAAUCAUUGACUUAAACUGUGCAAAGUGUCUGUUUUGUAUCAGUCCAGUCAGUUUCUCUUCCCCAUGAAAUCGUGAGAAAUAAACCAGUGUUCGUCAAUUACACAAGAUCUGUGUGUGGCCUCUAUUUGUAACUGGACAAUUCUCCAACAGGGGGAUACCUGGUAGAGUGGUUGAGGAGGGUUUAAAGUCAUGCGGCAAGGGGAUGGGAACCAGAAGAGGAGGGCAGUAGAUGCAGGAAUUGAGGGAGAGAUAGAAACCAAGGCAAACGUGACUAAGAACAAGAACGGUGAGGGAAAUGCUGCUGAAAAGAGCUGGGUAAGUGGUCUUACAUGCUUGUGUUUCAAUGUAAGAAGUAUAUUAGGCAAGGCAGAUGAACUUACAGCUUUGGUUAGUACUUAGAGCUGUAACAUUAUUGCGAUUAUGGAGACUUUGCUGAAAGAGAGACUGGACUGGCAGCAGAAUGUCCCGGUAUUUAGAUGUUUCAGGUGUGAGGUGGGGGAGUAAAAGGGGUAAAGGAGUGUCUCACAGCUGUCAGAAACUGUGGUGCUGGAAACGCACAGUCGGUCAGGCAGCAUCCGAGGAGCAGGAGAGUCAGGAAGAGCU